rnacentral:tRNA from 1 species
GAGGAGGUAGGCUAUAAAGUUAAGCCUCUAGAUUCAUAUUCUGGCGAAGCGGGAGAAUUCAACCGCCCCCUCU